rnacentral:lncRNA from 1 species
AUUAUUAUAAUAAUAAUAAUUAUUAUUAUUAUUAUUGUUAUUAUUAUACAGCAUCUUAAGGUCAACAAAAAUGGCUAUCUUCCACAUUUCAUUCUUCCAGUACCUUCUGGAGAAAUGCUUUCCUUUUUUUUUUUUUAUUUUUCUUCUGCGCCACCUUUACUUACUGUCUCCCAUUUUCCUUGUUUCAUCUGCCUCCUGGAGGAAUAUCUUAUCUUUGGCCUCCAGCUACUGUCUCUAGGGAGAAUGGGUAUUUUCCUACUUUUAGUUUUUUUCUACUACCUUCUGGAGGAACAUUUUCUAUAUUACCUCCAUAGGGGUUGGUUGGGAAGGUUUUUGGGAGACAUUUCUCAUUAUUACUCAAAUACUGGUCUCUGAAUGAAUAUUUUGUACUUUAUGGUUUUUUACUACCUUCUGGAGGUAAUAUCUUCCAUGUUUGCUCCAUGGUCCAGUUGCUGUGCUCUGGAGGAAUGUCUUCCAUGUUACCUCCAGCUUCUGCUCUGUGGAAGAAAAUCUUCCAUGUUGCCUCCAGCUUCUGCUCUUGGGAGGAAAAUCUUCCAUGUUACCUCCAGCUUCUGUUCUGUGGAGAAUUAUCUUCCAUGUUACCUCCAGCUUCUGCUCUUGGGAGGAAAAUCUUCUACGUUACCUCCAGCUUCUGCUCUGUGGAAGCAUAUCUUCCAUGUCACCUCCAGCCUCUGUUCUAUGGAGGAAUAUCUUCUAUGUCUUCUCCAGCUUCAGUGCUGAAGGAUUAUCUUUCAUGUUACUUCCAGCUUUUAUUCUGUGGAGGCAUAUCUUCCACUGAUGUUCCAUCUGCUGCCUUCUGGAAGAAUAUUUCUCCAUUUCUUCCCCAUUAUUGCCUUCUGGAGAUUAUAACUUCCAUAUUUCUUGUUCUCUUCCAUAUUCCGUAUUGAGCAAAACUUAACUUUUCUUCUCUCUCUCUCUUUCUCUUCUGUCUGUCUCUCUCUCAUUGUUUCACUCUUUCUGUCACUUUGUAUACCUCUGACUUGCACCCUCCUCUCUUCUCUCUCUCUCUCUCUGUCUUUAUCUGUCUCUUUCUCUAUCUCUAUCUCAGCCCCUUUCCAUUUCUCUCUCUUUGCCUACAUCUCCCCCUCUCCCCCUCUUUUUCUCGAUUCCUUUGAUCCUUAAUCCUUCUUUUAAUCCACUUAAUCUCCACCACACUACCAUUUCUGCUGUUGCUGUUGUUAUAUAUUUAGUUAAUCCUUUGGCAUUGAGGUUCCUCCAUGAAAACUAAUCAAAUUGCUUAGUUAAUCAAAUUGUUUUGAAUUAAUUAUGUAUUAUCUCGUAGCUUCAAGAUUUCAAUGACGUGAUGUUUAUUUUUGGAAUGAAAAAUUGUAGGGUAGGUGUGAGAGGCUGGAUCUGGCCUUUUUGAAUAUAAAACAGGUAGAUUCUUUUGGCUUGAUACAGCUGCUUAAAUGCUAAAGGAUUAACAGGAACAACAUCAGCAACAAUAACCAUAAUGGUUCAAUACCAUUCGAUCAAUUAAUGUCUCAGUUCAAGGAAGGGGAGGGGGUGGUUUGUAUUUACAAAAAAACAAAAAAUAUAUAUAUAUAUUGCUAAAGUGAAAAACUAAAAAA